rnacentral:rRNA from 1 species
GACGAACCGUGCGAACGUUAUUCGGAAUCACUGGGCUUAAAGCGCGUGUAGGCGGGACGGCACGUCUGUCGCUGAAAUCCCCCGGCUUAACCGGGGAACUGGCGUAGAUCCGACCGUCCUUGAGGGGCGUAGGGGGAUCUGGAACUUCCGGUGGAGCGGUGAAAUGCGUUGAGAUCGGAAGGAACGCCCGUGGCGAAAGCGAGGUCCUGGACGCCUACUGACGCUGAGACGCGAAAGCCAGGGGAGCGAACGGG